GAUGAACGCUGGCGGCGUGCCUAAUACAUGCAAGUCGAGCGAACAGACGAGGAGCUUGCUCCUCUGACGUUAGCGGCGGACGGGUGAGUAACACGUGGAUAACCUACCUAUAAGACUGGGAUAACUUCGGGAAACCGGAGCUAAUACCGGAUAAUAUAUUGAACCGCAUGGUUCAAUAGUGAAAGACGGUUUUGCUGUCACUUAUAGAUGGAUCCGCGCCGCAUUAGCUAGUUGGUAAGGUAACGGCUUACCAAGGCAACGAUGCGUAGCCGACCUGAGAGGGUGAUCGGCCACACUGGAACUGAGACACGGUCCAGACUCCUACGGGAGGCAGCAGUAGGCAAUCUUCCGCAAUGGGCGAAAGCUUGACGGAGCAACGCCGCGUGAGUGAUGAAGGUCUUCGGAUCGUAAAACUCUGUUAUUAGGGAAGAACAAAUGUGUAAGUAACUAUGCACGUCUUGACGGUACCUAAUCAGAAAGCCACGGCUAACUACGUG
rnacentral:rRNA from 1 species